UACGGGGGGGCGGAAGCGUUGUUCGGAAUUACUGGGCGUAAAGGGCGCGUAGGCGGUUUGCUAAGUUGGACGUGAAAACUCUGGGCUUAACCCAGAGCCUGCAUCCAAAAACUGGCAAGCUGGAGUAUUGGAGGGGGGAAGCGGAAUUCCUGGUGUAGCAGUGAAAUGCGUAGAUAUCAGGAGGAACACCGGUGGCGAAGGCGGCUUCCUGGACAAUAACUGACGCUGAGGCGCGAAAGCUAGGGGGAGCAAACAGG
rnacentral:rRNA from 1 species